rnacentral:rRNA from 1 species
UACGUAGGGACCAAGCGUUGUUCGGAUUUACUGGGCGUAAAGGGCGCGUAGGCGGCGCGGUAAGUCACUUGUGAAAUCUCUGAGCUUAACUCAGAACGGCCAAGUGAUACUGCAGUGCUAGAGUGUGGAAGGGGCAAUCGGAAUUCUUGGUGUAGCGGUGAAAUGCGUAGAUAUCAAAGAGGAACACCUGAGGUGAAGACGGGUUGCUGGGC